rnacentral:misc_RNA from 1 species
AUUUGGUUCACCUUGCACAGGCGCCAGUCCUCUUCCUACUGUCUGUUCUGUCGCCUCCCGCUCUCCAGUCUCGAUUUCUUCCGUCUCCACCCUUCUUCCUCUCAUUGGCUGUGAAGAACAAGAUCUGAGCCUCGACAGUGAAAUUGUGAUGCACCAGCUUUGAGCUAUCGAACCCAAUCUACACAAGCUAUUGAACCAUCUCUCAGCUAUCACCUCUCGAGACAGUAGCUGUGAUUUAGGAGAGAUGGAAACUAAUUGGGUUGCGGAAGGGAAUGGGCUUGGAGCUGAGCGAGGUGGGAGCUUUGACAUGGGGGCAUUAGGGAGGUGCUUGAGCAGCUUCGUGGAUGAAGGUAGCCCUGAGAGUCACAGAUA